GCCUGGGUGGCUCAGUCGGUUGAGCGUCUGACUUCAGCUCAGGUCACAAUCUCGCGUCCAGUGAGUUCAAGCCCCGCAUCGGGCU
rnacentral:tRNA from 1 species